UGGGGAAUUUUGGACAAUGGGCGAAAGCCUGAUCCAGCAAUGCCGCGUGUGUGAAGAAGGCCUUCGGGUUGUAAAGCACUUUUGUCCGGAAAGAAAUCCUUGGCUCUAAUACAGUCGGGGGAUGACGGUACCGGAAGAAUAAGCACCGGCUAACUACGUGCCAGCAGCCGCGGUAAUACGUAGGGUGCAAGCGUUAAUCGGAAUUACUGGGCGUAAAGCGUGCGCAGGCGGUUUGCUAAGACCGAUGUGAAAUCCCCGGGCUCAACCUGGGAACUGCAUUGGUGACUGGCAGGCUAGAGUAUGGCAGAGGGGGGUAGAAUUCCACGUGUAGCAGUGAAAUGCGUAGAGAUGUGGAGGAAUACCGAUGGCGAAGGCAGCCCCCUGGGCCAAUUACUGACGCUCAUGCACGAAAGCGUGGGGAGCAAACAGGAUUAGAUACCCUGGUAGUCCACGCCCUAAACGAUGUCAACUAGUUGUUGGGGAUUCAUUUCCUUAGUAACGUAGCUAACGCGUGAAGUUGACCGCCUGGGGAGUACGGUCG
rnacentral:rRNA from 1 species